rnacentral:lncRNA from 1 species
GGACUCAGCGGUUUCCUGGGCAACCGGCCUCCUCCGGCGCGGCCCGCGCGGCUCCAGGUGGCGGGAGGCGGCGGUUGGCGGGAAGGGCCGCGCGGGCCCGGGGGCGGCGCCUCAGAUGCGCUCUUUCCAGAAAGGCAGCACACGCAUGUCUCUGCCGUGGCCCCAGAUCCUCCCCGCGCCGCCGUUUUGAGCGUUCACACUCAUUACCCAGGUCCGUCUGGGAGACCCGCCGGGCUCCCGCCCU